rnacentral:misc_RNA from 1 species
AGCAGCCGCGGUAAUUCCAGCUCCAAUAGCGUAUAUUAAAGUUGUUGCAGUUAAAAAGCUCGUAGUUGAAUUUCGAGAUCAAAUUGUUGGUCGUGCCUUGGUACGCACUGGCAUUAUUGGUUUCUCCCUUCUGACGAACCAUGAUGUCAUUAAUUUGGUGUCUUGGGGAAUCAGGACUGUUACUUUGAAAAAUUAGAGUGUUUAAAGCAGGCUCACGCUUGAAUACAUUAGCAUGGAAUAAUGAAAUAGGACGUUUGAUUCUAUUUUGUUGGUUUCUAGGAUCGACGUAAUGAUUAAUAGGGAUAGUUGGGGGCAUUAGUAUUCAAUUGUCAGAGGUGAAAUUCUUGGAUUUAUUGAAGACUAACUACUGCGAAAGCAUUUGCCAAGGAUGUUUUCAUUAAUCAAGAACGAAAGUUAGGGGAUCGAAGACGAUCAGAUACCGUCGUAGUCUUAACCAUAACU